CAUGUCACCGUCACUGUGUCACCACCACUGUCACUGCCACUGUGUCACUGUCAGUGUCACCGUCACUGUGUCACUGUCACUGUCACCAUCACUGUGUCACCACCACUGUCACUGCCAGUGUCACCGUCGCUGUGUCACCAUCACUGUCACUGUGUCACUGUCACUGUGUCACUGUCACUGUGUCAACUCUGCCCCCUAGAGCCCUCUCGUCCCAUUGCACCUCGGCUGGACCCUAAGGACUGCCACCACGUCCUGUGUCACUGUGUCACGACGUCAUUGUGUCACCAUGUCACCGUGUCACCGUGUCACUAAGUCACCGUGUCACUGUGUCACUGUGCCACUGCGUCACCGUGCCACUGCAUCACCAUGUCACUGUGUCACCAAGUAAUCAUGUCACUGCAUCACUGUGUCACCAUGUCACCAAG
rnacentral:lncRNA from 1 species